rnacentral:rRNA from 1 species
UACGAAGGGGGCUAGCGUUGCUCGGAUUGACUGGGCGUAAAGGGCGCGUAGGCGGCGGACACGGUCAGACGUGAAAUUCCUGGGCUCAACCUGGGGGCUGCGUUUGAUACAUGUCUGCUUGAGUUCGGAAGAGGGUCGUGGAAUUCCCAGUGUAGAGGUGAAAUUCGUAGAUAUUGGGAAGAACACCGGUGGCGAAGGCGGCGACCUGGUCCGAUACUGACGCUGAGGCGCGAUAGCGUGGGGAUCAAACAGG